UGAUGUUGUUGGGUCAGGUGAUGUUGUUGGGUCAGGUGAUGAUGUUGGGUGAUGGUGAUGAUGUUGGGUGAUGGUGAUGUUGUUGGGUCAGGUGAUGUUGUUGGGUCAUGUGAUGAUGUUGGGUGAUGGUGAUGAUGUUGUUGGGUCAUGUGACGUUGUUGGUUUAGGUGAUGUUGUUGGGUCAUGUGAUGUUGUUGGGUUAGGUGAUGGUAAUAUUGUUGGGUCAUGUGAUGUUGUUGGGUUGGGUGAUGGUGAUGUUGUUGGGUUAGGUGAUGGUAAUAUUGUUGGGUCAUGUGAUGGGUUGGGUGAUGGUGAUGUUGUUGGGUUAGGUGAUGGUAAUAUUGUUGGGUCAUGUGAUGUUGUUGGGUUAGGUGAUGGUAAUAUUGUUGGGUCAUGUGAUGUUGUUGGGUUAGGUGAUGGUAAUAUUGUUGGGUCAUGUGAUGUUGUUGGGUUAGGUGAUGGUAAUAUUGUUGGGUCAUGUGAUGUUGUUGGGUUAGGUGAUGGUAAUAUUGUUGGGUCAUGGUUAGAAUGUAAAAACGUUGUGGUGUAUUGUUUCCACACAAACAAGCACUGCUUACUUAGGCUUUUUGGAAAGAGGGUGGAACUUUGGAUUGAAGACAUUACCGUCCGUAUUUUCAAUGUCAUGAACAUGUUUUUCCUCCCCCUUUUAGCCAAAGCUCAGCUGAGCACUGACUGACCAUUGACACAGACGCCAAGACACCGACAGGACAUCCGUGAAUGAAAAUAGUUGAUGGGCAAAGGAUCUAAUCAUUUUCAGCAAUUAAUGCCAGAGUGAUGUUUUAUAAUACUUUUUAUUGGAGUUAUUCGAAACUCAACAAGAGCAUUGAAACUGUGCGUGUACCUAAUGUUAAGUUUGAAUUGGAGUUGUGUUUUGCACUUUAAUGUUGUGUGUAAUUGUUAACACUAAGUUUUUGCAACAGAAUCAUUAGCUGUGUUUUUGAAGUGUGGUCUAUAUUUCUAAAACAAGUUCUAAACAAUGUUUUAUAGGUCGUUGAGAUGGAAAUGUAAUUAUGACAUGAAUCAUAUAUUUAUUUUAUUUUGACUAAUGAAAGACAAUCUUGCACCAAAUUACAACCUUUGUAGCUCAGCACUGCCAUGUAACGCGUUUUCCAAUCAACUGUAUUGUAUUAUGUGUAAUUUAAAAGGGAAAUAAACUAUAAUUCUGUUUUCUGGAAAUAAAGGUUUCAACAAAACGUGUUGCCUCAUGUCCACUUCUCUCUUAAUAUUUAAUCAUGAACACACUCGUAUACGGUCCAUGUGUCAUAAAUCAACUCACUUCAAACAGUAAAUGACGAUUCAAACACGAGCAAUGUUUAUUUUGGGCUCAAUUCCAGCCAUAGUGCUGAAAAUCGGCUUUAUAGCGCGAUUGACAAUUAAAGGGAUCACUCUUAACAUUUCCCCAAAAAAUGUAAUGACAAGACAUGGAAAAUUACAACAUUGUCUCACUAAUGCAUUUCCACAAAAUACACAUGCGCAGCAGAUUUGGCAACAACAAAAAAGCACAUUAUCCAUACAGGUUGUUGCAUGGAAUCCUUUUAGCCUGGCAUAUUUACUUCACACAAAGUGGCCAUCAAUUCAAAACACACAUUGCUGGACUGCACACCAGAUCUGAAUGCAGUUUGAGUUCUCAUCAGAACUGAAAAUUAGAUCCCGGUCCGACCCAAGUCCGUAAAGCUUGAAGCCCGAGCCCAGGCCUGACAUCACAGAAAUUAAAUGAGCCCAAAACAAAA